CACUCACACAGAGAAAGCUACAGUAUGUGUACGCGAUUGCCUCUAUUUUCGUGGCAUGGGAUUCUGCUGCUGAAGGAACUAAUCACCAGGGGCAUAACUCAAGGCAGGUACUUUCUGGGACUCUUCCCAAUCCUGUGCUAUCCGAUCCUGUGUUUAACUGGAGAUGCCAAGCACUGAACCUGGCAUCUGGUUCAUGAAGACCAUGUGUCCUCCUGAGCGACAGCUUUUCCCCUCUGAAGCACCAUUACUGAAGUAACGUAGAGGAAGUUUGCUGCUAAGCUCAAGUGGCUGUUUAUUGAGAUCAGCAAGACAGUUAAGUGGAGUGCUUGAACCAAUGAAAAGACAGGUUAUUUCAAUCAGAAAGAACAUGGGAGAAUGCAGAGUGGUUGAGCAGAGUAUUGAUUUGCUGGCCUUGAACAGCCUUUCUCCUUUGAUGAUUAAUUCAGUGAAUAAAAAUCCAUAAGAACUCA